AUACAGCUAACGAGUCCCAAAUAGGACGAAACGCACAUCUUGAAU
rnacentral:hammerhead_ribozyme from 1 species